AUUUUACAUAGCCUCAGGCAAUGUUUAUAUAAUUAAUCUUGAGUAAUAGAGAUGCUGCACCCCCUGACGGAGUGACCUUACUACCUGGAUCAUCCCACUAGGCAAGACAAGUUCAAAACUUUCCAUGCAAACACUUGCAUGGCAGUUGCUAUAGUAGGAUAUGAAUAUAGUUUUGCCUUGCCAGGGUGGCUCGGGGGGGGGGUAGGAUUUCCCUAGUACCUGGAGACCAUAUAGACAGGCCGUCGGAUUACUGUAAUAGUUUAAUUGAGGUUCAAAAAAGCAGCCCCCCCCCCAAAGUGGUAGGUCUGCUCCCCAAAUCCAGCCCCCCUUGGAAGAUGUACUGUAAAGCUAGACAAUUUUACUUGUUAACCCAACUUUAUUAUUCUGUCUAACACCGGACGAUCCAGUUAACCCAUUGAGUUGCAUUGCAUGUGCCCUGAUGCACCCUACUUUAUUAUUUUACUCUGUCUAAUGCCAGACGAUUUUACUCGUCAAGGGGUGAGCACACUUUAACAUGCAAAGUAUUAAUUGGGAAUACUUUCUCUUUUAAUGGGAAACUCUUUAUCAAUAAAAGGAACAAUGCAAUUAUUCUGUAGUAUUUAAUUUUUCAUAUAAAGCAAAGACUGUAAGAGGAAACAUGGAUCAUUGGCUACUUUUUUUAUUUAGUAUUAAUUUUCAUGACAACAUGUGGGUCAACUAUAAAGGAAACAGUUAUUGCCUAUUUUGGAAUAAAAAAUUUAGAAUAUAGCAAUAUUCAUUGACAUUGAACACAUAUUUAAUUUAUUUAGUUUUUGAAUAAUUUAAGUUCUUAAAUGUAUAUAAAUGUGACAUAAAAUAAACAACAUUUAUUAAAAUUGUAUUUUUAAAUCCCAAUUACACUGUUGUAUUUACAUUUCACUGUUGUAGUAUUUACACUGUCAGUAGUUAUUACACUGUAGUAUUUACAUUUCAAGACCUUAACCAACAUCAUUCCUUGGAGUUUCUCAUGACAAGAUGUCUCAACCAAGAUCCUCUGGAGAACUUCUUUGGCCUCAUUAGGCAGCAGGGGGGGGGGGGAUUGUGACAACCAAUUAGUCCCAUCCAGUUCACCAGAGCAUUUUGCAUAUUAUUUGUAGAUAAUAUUUUGACACCACUUUCAAUUGGCAGCUGUGCUGAAGAUUCUGAUGCCUAUUUGAUUGCAUUUCACCCUAGCCAAUCUGAUUUAUCUGCAGGAAAUGAUCAGACAAGCCCACCACUAAUCCAAGCAGUUGAAGAUACCGACUACAAAACAAAUGAAAUUGAACAAAACUUAGUCUGCAUGAACUUAUGUGUCAAGCUAUUUAUUAAGGAAGUGCCUUAUCCAACAUAGCUGUCCAAUAUGCCAUCAUAAUUUUGUGAUAAAGGAUGUCAAUGACAGUAGUCUCUGCUAUUCUGCAUGUGAAAGACCUCUGACCUUUGAAGGCG